AAAUUGAAGAGUUUGAUCAUGGCUCAGAUUGAACGCUGGCGGCAGGCCUAACACAUGCAAGUCGAGCGGUAGCACAGAGAGCUUGCUCUCGGGUGACGAGCGGCGGACGGGUGAGUAAUGUCUGGGAAACUGCCUGAUGGAGGGGGAUAACUACUGGAAACGGUAGCUAAUACCGCAUAAUGUCGCAAGACCAAAGUGGGGGACCUUCGGGCCUCAUGCCAUCAGAUGUGCCCAGAUGGGAUUAGCUAGUAGGUGGGGUAACGGCUCACCUAGGCGACGAUCCCUAGCUGGUCUGAGAGGAUGACCAGCCACACUGGAACUGAGACACGGUCCAGACUCCUACGGGAGGCAGCAGUGGGGAAUAUUGCACAAUGGGCGCAAGCCUGAUGCAGCCAUGCCGCGUGUGUGAAGAAGGCCUUCGGGUUGUAAAGCACUUUCAGCGGGGAGGAAGGCGAUAAGGUUAAUAACCUUGUCGAUUGACGUUACCCGCAGAAGAAGCACCGGCUAACUCCGUGCCAGCAGCCGCGGUAAUACGGAGGGUGCAAGCGUUAAUCGGAAUUACUGGGCGUAAAGCGCACGCAGGCGGUCUGUCAAGUCGGAUGUGAAAUCCCCGGGCUCAACCUGGGAACUGCAUUCGAAACUGGCAGGCUAGAGUCUUGUAGAGGGGGGUAGAAUUCCAGGUGUAGCGGUGAAAUGCGUAGAGAUCUGGAGGAAUACCGGUGGCGAAGGCGGCCCCUGGACAAAGACUGACGCUCAGGUGCGAAAGCGUGGGGAGCAAACAGGAUUAGAUACCCUGGUAGUCCACGCCGUAAACGAUGUCGAUUUGGAGGUUGUGCCCUUGAGGCGUGGCUUCCGGAGCUAACGCGUUAAAUCGACCGCCUGGGGAGUACGGCCGCAAGGUUAAAACUCAAAUGAAUUGACGGGGGCCCGCACAAGCGGUGGAGCAUGUGGUUUAAUUCGAUGCAACGCGAAGAACCUUACCUGGUCUUGACAUCCACAGAACUUUCCAGAGAUGGAUUGGUGCCUUCGGGAACUGUGAGACAGGUGCUGCAUGGCUGUCGUCAGCUCGUGUUGUGAAAUGUUGGGUUAAGUCCCGCAACGAGCGCAACCCUUAUCCUUUGUUGCCAGCGGUCCGGCCGGGAACUCAAAGGAGACUGCCAGUGAUAAACUGGAGGAAGGUGGGGAUGACGUCAAGUCAUCAUGGCCCUUACGACCAGGGCUACACACGUGCUACAAUGGCAUAUACAAAGAGAAGCGACCUCGCGAGAGCAAGCGGACCUCAUAAAGUAUGUCGUAGUCCGGAUUGGAGUCUGCAACUCGACUCCAUGAAGUCGGAAUCGCUAGUAAUCGUAGAUCAGAAUGCUACGGUGAAUACGUUCCCGGGCCUUGUACACACCGCCCGUCACACCAUGGGAGUGGGUUGCAAAAGAAGUAGGUAGCUUAACCUUCGGGAGGGCGCUUACCACUUUGUGAUUCAUGACUGGGGUGAAGUCGUAACAAGGUAACCGUAGGGGAACCUGCGGUUGGAUCACCUCCUUA
rnacentral:rRNA from 1 species